CGCUAUCACUCCUACGGGAGGCAGCAGUGGGGAAUAUUGCACAAUGGGCGCAAGCCUGAUGCAGCCAUGCCGCGUGUAUGAAGAAGGCCUUCGGGUUGUAAAGCACUUUCAGUAGGGAGGAAGGUAGUGUAGUUAACACCUGCAUUAUUUGACGUUACCUACAGAAGAAGCACCGGCUAACUCCGUGCCAGCAGCCGCGGUAAUACGGAGGGUGCGAGCGUUAAUCGGAAUUACUGGGCGUAAAGCGCAUGCAGGCGGCCUGUUAAGUCAGAUGUGAAAGCCCGGGGCUUAACCUCGGAAUUGCAUUUGAAACUGGCAGGCUAGAGUCUUGUAGAGGGGGUAGAAUUUCAGGUGUAGCGGUGAAAAUGCGUAGAGAUCUGAAGGAAUACCAGUGGCGAAGGCGGCCCCCUGGACAAAGACUGACGCUCAGAUGCGAAAGCGUGGGGAGCAAACAGGAUUAGAUACCCUGGUAG
rnacentral:rRNA from 1 species